rnacentral:tRNA from 1 species
GCUGGUGUAGCUCAACUGGCAGAGCAACUGUCUUGUAAACAGUGGGUUGCAGGUUCAACUCCUGUCGCCAGCCCCA